rnacentral:rRNA from 1 species
UGUAAAUGUAAAAUUUUUAAACCAGGGUAGUAAUAGUUAAGUUCUUGAAACCCAAAGAAUUUGGCGGUAUUUUAGUCCUUUCAGAGGAAUCUGUCCCAUAAUCGACAGUCCACGAGAGAAUUUACUUAUUCUUGUAUUUCAGUUUGUAUACCUCCGUCAUAAGAAGAUCUUUUUAGAGAUGGAAUUUUCUUGAUAUAUAAAUUAUAAGAUGUCAGGUCAAGGUGCAAUUUAUGAAUAAGAGGAGAUGGAUUACAAUAAAUUUAUUUACACGGAUUGAAUUAUUUGAUUUUUUUUAUGAAGGUGGAUUUGAUAGUAAUUUUGAUUAUUUGUUAUUAUGAUUUUGGCUCUAAAAUAUGC